rnacentral:rRNA from 1 species
GAAAAGCCCGCUCGCCGGAAGACCAAGGGUUCCUGUCCAACGUUAAUCGGGGCAGGGUGAGUCGACCCCUAAGGCGAGGCCGAAAGGCGUAGUCGAUGGGAAACAGGUUAAUAUUCCUGUACUUGGUGUUACUGCGAAGGGGGGACGGAGAAGGCUAUGUUGGCCGGGCGACGGUUGUCCCGGUUUAAGCGUGUAGGCUGGUUUUCCAGGCAAAUCCGGAAAAUCAAGGCUGAGGCGUGAUGACGAGGCACUACGGUGCUGAAGCAACAAAUGCCCUGCUUCCAGGAAAAGCCUCUAAGCAUCAGGUAACAUCAAAUCGUACCCCAAACCGACACAGGUGGUCAGGUAGAGAAUACCAAGGCGCUUGAGAGAACUCGGGUGAAGGAACUAGGCAAAAUGGUGCCGUAACUUCGGGAGAAGGCACGCUGAUAUGUAGGUGAAGUCCCUUGCGGAUGGAGCUGAAAUCAGUCGAAGAUACCAGCUGGCUGCAACUGUUUAUUAAAAACACAGCACUGUGCAAACACGAAAGUGGACGUAUACGGUGUGACGCCUGCCCGGUGCCGGAAGGUUAAUUGAUGGGGUCAGCGCAAGCGAAGCUCUUGAUCGAAGCCCCGGUAAACGGCGGCCGUAACUAUAACGGUCCUAAGGUAGCGAAAUUCCUUGUCGGGUAAGUUCCGACCUGCACGAAUGGCGUAAUGAUGGCCAGGCUGUCUCCACCCGAGACUCAGUGAAAUUGAACUCGCUGUGAAGAUGCAGUGUACCCGCGGCAAGACGGAAAGACCCCGUGAACCUUUACUAUAGCUUGACACUGAACAUUGAGCCUUGAUGUGUAGGAUAGGUGGGAGGCUUUGAAGUGUGGACGCCAGUCUGCAUGGAGCCGGCCUUGAAAUACCACCCUUUAAUGUUUGAUGUUCUAACGUGGACCCGUGAUCCGGGUUGCGGACAGUGUCUGGUGGGUAGUUUGACUGGGGCGGUCUCCUCCUAAAGAGUAACGGAGGAGCACGAAGGUUGGCUAAUCCUGGUCGGACAUCAGGAGGUUAGUGCAAUGGCAUAAGCCAGCUUGACUGCGAGCGUGACGGCGCGAGCAGGUGCGAAAGCAGGUCAUAGUGAUCCGGUGGUUCUGAAUGGAAGGGCCAUCGCUCAACGGAUAAAAGGUACUCCGGGGAUAACAGGCUGAUACCGCCCAAGAGUUCAUAUCGACGGCGGUGUUUGGCACCUCGAUGUCGGCUCAUCACAUCCUGGGGCUGAAGUAGGUCCCAAGGGUAUGGCUGUUCGCCAUUUAAAGUGGUACGCGAGCUGGGUUUAGAACGUCGUGAGACAGUUCGGUCCCUAUCUGCCGUGGGCGCUGGAGAACUGAGGGGGGCUGCUCCUAGUACGAGAGGACCGGAGUGGACGCAUCACUGGUGUUCGGGUUGUCAUGCCAAUGGCACUGCCCGGUAGCUAAAUGCGGAAGAGAUAAGUGCUGAAAGCAUCUAAGCACGAAACUUGCCCCGAGAUGAGUUCUCCCUGACCCUUUAAGGGUCCUGAAGGAACGUUGAAGACGACGACGUUGAUAGGCCGGGUGUGUAAGCGCAGCGAUGCGUUGAGCUAACCGGUACUAAUGAACCGUGAG